GCCCACCAUGAGCACUGCAACAACGUUGCUUGGGCACGGGCAUGACUACUGCUUCAUGCCACCUCAAAGUGGAGAGCCAGGGAACAUUCUUUGUGAAGAACCUGCGCUCCAGGAUGAAGACAACCAGUAUGCUGCAAACGAGUUGCCGUUCCCUGCUGCUGAGACUGCCUUCCCUAGUGUGCAAGGUAAGUGUACCGAACAAGGAUCUGUUUCACCUUUCUGCUUGG
rnacentral:lncRNA from 1 species